CCCUUAGAUGUUCUGGGCCGCACACGCGCUACACUGGCAGGUUCAUCGAGCUUCAUGCCCUGAUCUGAGAAGAACGGGAAAUCUUUGAACACCUGCCGUGCUUGGGAUAGAUGUUUGCAAUUAUUCAUCUUCAACGAGGAUUGCCUUGUAAGCGCACGUCAUCAGCGUGCAUUGAAUACGACCCUGUAUUCUGUACACACCGCCCGUCGCUCCUACCGAUUGAAGUUUUCGGUGAAUUUACUGGAGAUCCCUUUUGAAGGUGGUUCGCCACUGGAAGAAGUAUUCAAAAGUAAAUGAAUCGAAUGCUUUAGAGGAAGGAGAAGGCGUAACA
rnacentral:rRNA from 1 species